GUUUCCAGAGACCAAAAGGAAACAAAAAAUGCAGCACAAUUUGCAAACUGAAGACAAUAUAAGAUCAUGCAUGGUGUUCCAACUGAGUACACAACAGAGUUAAUCCAGCAAGACAACAGUUGAGGAAAGAUGCCAUGGAACUCACUGAAUUCAGAGUUUUGUGUGUGGAAACCAAACUGAAAAUAAUGAUGGUCACAGAUCUGUAAAACAAAGCCCUGAUGGAAAAAAUUAAAAAAUCCAUAGACAGAACAAAAUGGUGAAAAAUUAAGAAUAGGAGAUGUAAUUUAUUACUUCCAUAAUGAUUACAUCUCAACCCUUGAUGGAACUUUACAACAACAUAAGAAGAUCUAAAGUUAUACAAGCAAUUACAUGACGCAAAGUCAUCAAGAGAGCAAGGCACGUUGGCAUAUUUUAAAACAUUGUUGAGGAGAACAGAUGUGACUGGAAAGGUCAAGUCCAAUUUCCAGGGUCAUGCAGAUUUAAUUAAAAUUGUAGUUAAGGGGCUCAUUGUUGAGCAGUUUUUGUCGUUUUUUGAUAUGCAAAAUGAAAAUGACCACCCCUCCCCUUCUAAUAUUAUUAUUCCAGAUAACAUUUCAUCUGCCACUAAAGUUAAUAAAGUAAGGGUUCAACAUGAAAUUUUGGAAUCUUUUUUGAAGUAUUAUGGGUAUAUCCCAUCUGAGAACAUGGUCAAUUCUUCAGAUGAAUUAUUUAAUUAUUGUAAUCAAUUAUGUUUAUGGGGAUUACAAUUUUUUGAAAUGGAAGACACAGCAGAAGAGGGAGACAUUUGUAGAGUAAUCCCAAAUUUAUCUCACAACAUUUCAUUUUUCUACUCCCACUCUUGCCUGUCCAAGUAUAUGGCAGAAUGUGUUGAUUAUAUCUUAAAGGUUGAAUUUUUCUCCUCACCUUUGAAUAAAUUACGCAUAUUAGAAGGCAGUUUUGUCAAUGUAAAAGGUGGUACAUGUAACAAUACUGAGGCUGACUUGGUACAGGAGCAUCAUGUUAGACUUCAGUAAGAUUUAAUUAAACAGUUAGGUGCUAACAAAUCAAAUGAGGCAAUUUCAAGAACUACAAACGCCAGUAAUAUACUAGCUUCAAUUAUAGAUAAUUUUGACAAAUCAAAUGGUAUAAAAAGGAAAACUCCUUCCUAUACAAAGUCUGUGUGUACUGAGGAUGAGCAUAUCAUUCGAACCAAACUUAGGGAAUUAAAGCCUUUUAAUUAUACAGUAAACAGAAAUAUGGAAGUUAUCAGGAAAAAAUCUUUAUCACCAUUUUGACAGAGAAAUGAUGUUGUUUACCACAAUUGUAUAAAUAAUAUCAUUGACAGAGUUAAAUUUGGUUAUCCUGUUUUUGAAGAUAAUGAUUCUGAUUCAGAACAUGAGGAAGAUGAUGAUGCAGAUGAUGAAGCACAUCUCGUCCUGUAUUUUUCUAUGCUUGUAUGAGCCCUGUAUUUAAUACACAGGAAUACUAUUCCAAAAUCAAUACAUGUAUUUUACUAGAUUUUUAUGUUAUUCCAGUUGAUGUUGGCUACAGUUACAAUUUUUCUGUCUUAAAUUAUUUGAUUACAGGAAAUAUUGAUGUAAAGUGUUCAGUAUGGCAUUAAUAUGUGUAAGAUACUCCAUAAUAUGUCAAAAUUAUUUUUUACUCUUGUAUUUUCGAUAUCAUUAAUUAACUUCUAACAUUAAAUCUGGCUUAUAGCAAACCUCAGUAAAAUUUUA